rnacentral:rRNA from 1 species
GCUGUUGCGGUUAAAAAGCUCGUAGUUGGAUUUGAGUCUAGUUGCGGCCGGGCUCAGGGCUUUGACUCUGGGGCGGGCGUGUAGACUGUAUGCGCGCGGGGAGGGGCAGGGAAUUUUCUCUGCUUUCUCGUGUGCUUUACUUUGAACAAAUUAGAGUGUUUAAAGCAGGCAUUUUUUGCCUUGAAUACAUUAGCAUGGAAUAACGAUUUUGACUGGAGCAGGCAUGAUGUUGUCUUGAUGACUGCGCAGUAAUGAUGGAUAGGGACGGUCGGGGACAUUCGUAUUGCUCCGUCAGAGGUGAAAUUCUUAGAUUGGAGGAAGACGAGCUGAUGCGAAAGCCUUUGUCAAGGACGUUUUCAUUGAUCAAGAACGAAAGUUAGGGGAUCGAAGACGAUCAGAUACCGUCGUAGUCUUAACCAUAAACGAUGCCGACCAGGGAUUGGGGAAGGCAGUAGACUUUCUCACGACUUCCCCAGCACCUUAUGAGAAAUCUGAGUGUUUGGGUUCCGGGGGGAGUAUGGUCGCAAGGCUGAAACUUAAAGGAAUUGACGGAAGGGCACCACCAGGAGUGGAGCCUGCGGCUUAAUUUGACUCAACACGGGGAAACUUACCAGGCCCAGACAUAGCGAGGAUUGACAGAUUGAGAGCUCUUUCUUGAUUCUAUGGAUGGUGGUGCAUGGCCGUUCUUAGUUCGUGGAGUGAUUUGUCUGCUUAAUUGCGAUAACGAACGAGACCUUGGGGGGUUGCUGCGCGAGGGCGCUACUUGUUAGCGGCCCGUGCUCCUACUCCUACUGCUGCGUGUUGUAACCAGAGGAAGUUUGAGGCUAUAACAGGUCUGUGAUGCCCUUAGAUGCCCUGGGCCGCACGCGCGCUACACUGGAGCAGGCAGCGAGUGGGGG